ensembl:lncRNA
UAAGUUGGAAGUGGCUCAGAAUGAGCGAUGCAGAUUCUCAGGAAGAAAAUUCACUAAUUCCUUCACUCAGCAGGCAUUUAUGAACACCUUCUAAAUUUUUAAUACAGCGUACACUUCAAGAGGCUCAGGAUCUAGUAGAAAGACAAGCAGGGAGCCAGUGUUUAGACCCUCCUGUGUGUGACCUGUGCAAGGUAUUUUUUACACCCAUAGUUUGCGUUCUUCAAAAACCCUUUGGGUUGCUUACCUCUGUUUUACCUGAAAUGAAACUAGAGCUAAAAAAACAUACGUGAUUUGCCUGAAGUCUCCAUCAUUGAGUAAAGGAGUGUCAGGAAAGUGAAGACUUAAGACUAAUUGGUUUUGAGGUGUAGGUGGGGCAAAACACAUCAGUCCUGAAGGCAAUUGAAAAUGGUGAUCUGAUGCUUGAUUGAUGUCAGGGCCAAAGGCACUUUAGAGUCAUUCCUAGAGGGUGAUAGAUGGAGUUGGAGGAGAGGAACAGAUCAUUAUGAGGGAGGAUAUGUGUAAAAGUGGAACAAUGAGAGAAUCCUGUCACCUUGAGAAUGGGUAAAAAUACAGAAAUUAUUGUAUAAAUCUGCAGUCUUUGAGAAUAAUUUCUAAUGUUUUUGUUGUGCUGGUGGUAAAAAUAAAAAAUCACAUAAUGUGUUUUUAAUGUCUAUUUUAGCUUUUAAAAAUGUCCAGCAAAGAAUCUUGGGGAAAAAAGGAGAAGUCCAGGAGAAAAGGCUCAUCAUCCAGUGUUGAUGAAGAAGAGAAGAAAGAGAAAAAAACCUCAGCAAGUUCUUCUAGUUCAACUUGCUCUAUAAGAUCCAUUUCAUCAGAGAAGAGAAAACUGGUGAGUGUUUAGAUACUGUAACUAACUAUAAAAAUUAUUUAUGUUUACGUUUUAAUGUACAGUUGGAGGGUUUAUAGUAUAAAUUCCCUUACUACUUGUCCAUUAAUUUUUUCUUAUAUUAUGCUUGCUUUUUUGAUGGCCAAUUGAAAAAAAAAAAACUUAACUGUCAUGUGGGAUUACAUAACGUGGAUCUAAGUUUAGACUGUUUUACAACUUUUUAGGGCCGCAUCUGGCAUAUGAAAGUUCCCAGGCUGGAGGUCAGAUUGGAGCUAUAGCUCCUGGCCUACGCCACAGCCGCAGCAAUGUGGGAUCUGAGCUGCAUCUUUGACCUACACUGCAGCUCACAGCAACUCCAGAUCCUUUAAUCCUCUGAGCAAGGCCAGGGAUCGAACCUGCAUCCUCGUGGAUCCUAGUAGGAUUUGUUACUGCUGAGCCACAACGGGAACUCCCAGUUUUAAGUCUUUUCCCAUCUAUGGUUAUAUUUAUCUUUCAAAUGUCACUUUGAGGUAGCCAGGGAAGAUACAGUAUUUGCCCUUUCAGAUUCAGAAAUGGAGAUCCAGAAAGUUAAGUGACUUGUCAAAGAACACAAAAUUGUAUACAGCAGCAGAGCCAAGUCCAGAGAUCAUUCCACUGUCUCCCAAAUAAUUUGAAACAGUGACAGCGUACUAAACACAUCAAGCUAAUGAAUGGGUAGUUGGUGAAGUACUUACCACAUUCAGCAGGAGUUAGGUGUGUAACAAGAUAGUUACAGAGUUGUUGUGGGUAAUAAGAGAGAGUGGUUGUGAAAGUUCCAUGUGUGUAGAGUUGUCUUUUUAAGAAUUUGUUUUCAUAUAAUGAAACUGCUGUCUCAAUUUAUAAGAAUAAAAAUUGAUUUCAUCAUAUUUCUUCUGUGUCG